rnacentral:rRNA from 1 species
GUCGAGAAUAAUUCACAAUGGGGGAAACCCUGAUGGUGCAACGCCGCGUGGAGGAUGAAGGUCUUCGGAUUGUAAACUCCUGUCAUCUGGGAGUAAGACCUGACGGUGAAUAGCCGGCAGGGUUGAUAGUACCAGAAGAGGAAGGGACGGCUAACUUCGUGCCAGCAGCCGCGGUAAUACGAAGGUCCCAAGCGUUGUUCGGAAUCACUGGGCGUAAAGGGAGCGUAGGCGGCGUGGUAAGUCAGAUGUGAAAUCCCGGGGCUCAACCCCGGAACUGCAUCCGAUACUGCCAUGCUUGAGGGUUGGAGAGGUAGCUGGAAUUCUCGGUGUAGCAGUGAAAUGCGUGGAUAUCGAGAGGAACACUCGUGGCGAAGGCGAGCUACUGGACAACAUCUGACGCUGAGGCUCGAAGGCUAGGGGAGCAAAAGGGAUUAGAUACCCUAGUAGUCC